GGCGUGGUAGCUCAGUUGGUUAGAGCGCAGGAUUCAUAACCCUGAGGUCGGGAGUUCAACUCUCCCCCACGCUA
rnacentral:tRNA from 1 species